AAUUUUAAUAUUCAUAUAUAGAGCAAGGCUGUUGUAUUCUUAGGAGCCGUUUUUGGUGAUAAAAAUUUUUGAAUCGACGAUCAGUUUCGUUAGAUUUGAUUUAACAUAUUUGAAGUAUCUAGAGAAUAUAUUUUGUUAUUUUUUGAUAUCAAUUACCUAAUGAUCCAAAAGGUUCAAAAUCAACGGCUUAAAAUAAAAUUCUAAAAAAAAAAUAGUGAUAUAGCACUAAAAUUUUGGAUCAGAGAUAUUGAACUUACUAUAGAUAGUAUAAAGAAUCUUUUGUCAAAAUUUCAUCUGAUUUAGAUAUUUCUAUACCGUUAAACUUAGAAACGACAUACACCAACCAAUAAAAAUUAUUGAUUUCAAACUCACUCAAUCGUUAGGUAAAUGAUAUCGAAAAAUCAUAAAAAUUAUUUUCUUGGUACUUCAAAUAUGCUAGAUUAAGUCUAAUGGUGCCAAUUAUUGAUUCGAAAAUUCUAUCAUCGAAAACGGUUUAGGAGCAUGGAGGCCUCUGUGCUCCUAAGAGCACACGGCCCUACUCUUCAUGAGCACGGCUGUUGUACUCUUAGGAGCACGGAAGCCUCUGUGCUCCAAAGCCUUUUUGGUGAUGAAAUUUUCGAAUCGACGAUCGGCUCCGUUAGACUUAAUCUAACAUAUAUGAAGUAUCUAUAGAAAAAUUUUGUGAUUUUCGAUAUCAAUUAUCUAGCGAUCCAAAGGGCUCAAAAUCAAUGGCUGAAAAUAAAAAAUUCACAAAAAAUAGUGAUAUAACACUAAAAUUUAUAAUCAGAGAUAUUGAUCUUACUGUAGAUAGUACAAAAAAUUUCUAUCAAAAUUUUAUCUAAUUUAAAUACUUCUAUAUCGUUAAACUUGGAAGCAGCAGACACCAACCAUUAAUAAUUGAUUGAUACUAAAAAAUAAAGUUAAAUUUAAUACAGGAAUAUUUGUAGGUUAU
rnacentral:lncRNA from 1 species